rnacentral:rRNA from 1 species
CUACGGGUCUCUGCAGUGGGGAAUAUUGGACAAUGGGCGAAAGCCUGAUCCAGCCAUGCCGCGUGUGUGAAGAAGGCCUUCGGGUUGUAAAGCACUUUCAGUGGGGAAGAAAGCCUUGGGGCUAAUACCCUCGAGGAAGGACAUCACCCACAGAAGAAGCACCGGCUAACUCCGUGCCAGCAGCCGCGGUAAUACGGAGGGUGCGAGCGUUAAUCGGAAUUACUGGGCGUAAAGCGCGCGUAGGCGGUCUGAUAAGCCGGUUGUGAAAGCCCCGGGCUCAACCUGGGAACGGCAUCCGGAACUGUCAGGCUAGAGUGCAGGAGAGGAAGGUAGAAUUCCCGGUGUAGCGGUGAAAUGCGUAGAGAUCGGGAGGAAUACCAGUGGCGAAGGCGGCCUUCUGGACUGACACUGACGCUGAGGUGCGAAAGCGUGGGUAGCAAACAGGAUUAGAUACCCGGGUAGUC